UGCGAGUCGUACGAGAACGGAUAUUAGCUUGCUAAUAUUGUCAGCUAAGUGGCGCACGGGUGAGUAAUAUAUAGUUAAUCUGCCCCAAAGAAGAGAAUAAUUGUUGGAAACGACUUGUAAUGCUCUAUAUGCCUUUAUUACAUAAGUAAGCAAGGGAAACAUUUAUGGCUUUGGGAUGAGACUGUACGGUAUCAGCUAGUUGGUGAGGUAAUGGCUCACCAAGGCUAUGACAUCUAACUGGUUUGAGAGGAUGAUCAGUCACACUGGAACUGAGACACGGUCCAGACUCCUACGGGAGGCAGCAGUGGGGAAUAUUGCACAAUGGAGGAAACUCUGAUGCAGCAACGCCGCGUGGAGGAUGACACAUUUCGGUGCGUAAACUCCUUUUAUAUGAGAAGAUAAUGACGGUAUCAUAUGAAUAAGCACCGGCUAACUCCGUGCCAGCAGCCGCGGUAAUACGGGGGGUGCAAGCGUUACUCGGAAUCACUGGGCGUAAAGAGCAUGUAGGCUGGUUUGUAAGUUGGAAGUGAAAUCCUAUGGCUUAACCAUAGAACUGCUUCCAAAACUGCAGACCUAGAAUAUGGGAGAGGUAGAUGGAAUUUCUGGUGUAGGGGUAAAAUCCGUAGAGAUCAGAAGAAUACCGAUUGCGAAGGCGAUCUACUGGAACAUUAUUGACGCUGAGAUGCGAAAGCGUGGGGAGCAAACAGGAUUAGAUACCCUG
rnacentral:rRNA from 1 species